rnacentral:rRNA from 1 species
UACGUAGGUGGCAAGCGUUGUCCGGAAUUAUUGGGCGUAAAGCGCGCGCAGGCGGCUUUUUAGGUCUGAUGUGAAAUCUUGCGGCUCAACCGCAAGCGGCCAUUGGAAACUGGGAGGCUUGAGUACAGAAGAGGAGAGUGGAAUUCCACGUGUAGCGGUGAAAUGCGUAGAUAUGUGGAGGAACACCAGUGGCGAAGGCGACUCUCUGGUCAGUAACUGACGCUGAGGCGCGAAAGCGUGGGGAGCAAACAGG